GGCUGUGCCCUCUAGUUGCAGAGCAUUGACACGCCCCCCCUCGAAUAAGUCUGAACAUAUGUGGUAGAUCACGAGGUGAAAGAUAAUUGGUUGGAAGACUACUCUGUUGGAAGACUACUUUGUGAAGAGCAGACACAGUUCAGGAGCUGAUCAGACUUUGAAAAUUUGAUUGCUUGAGUUUGAUUUAAAACUUAAGGACUGAGCCAAGGAGAACAUUCAAAUGGCUUCCCAGAGAGUCCACAAUAUAGGUGCUGCCAUCUUGGAUACAUCUUGGAACAACAGGAAAGCGAAGUUAGUGGCCAAGAGUCGUCCCACUGAACCUGCAAGAUACCUUUGUCUCAAAAGCCCACAGAGUCUUUCUCAACGGAAAGUGCGUUAGAUCAAAGACAAAGGCUUCUCGAUAGAAGUGGCACUGAAGGCUAGACUUUUCUAAAGCGCAAAUGUUCCCAAACAAGAACAUGGUGAUGCUUGUGA